GACAGAGGGUGCAAACGUUUGUUCGGAAUUACUGGGCGUAAAGCGCAUGUAGGCGGCCAAGCAGGUCGGAUGUGAAAGCCCUCGGCUCAACCGAGGAACUGCGUUCAAUACUGCCGUGCUUGAGGGAGAUAGAGGUGAGCGGAACUUAGGGUGGAGCGGUGAAAUGCGUUGAUAUCCUAAGGAACACCGGUGGCGAAAGCGGCUCACUGGAUCUCUUCUGACGCUGAGGCACGAAAGCUAGGGUAGCAAACGGG
rnacentral:rRNA from 1 species